GGCUAACGCUGGCGGCGUGUCUUAGCCAUGCAAGUCGAGCGGACUUAUGGGGUAACUUAUAAGUCAGCGGCGGACGGCGGAGUAACACGUAGCUAACCUACCCUCUGGACGGGGAUAACCUACCGAAAGGUGGGCUAAUACCCGAUGUAGUCAUCCUGUAUAGGGGUGAUGAAAGGUGGGCUUCUGUUUACAAGCUCAUGCUGGAGGAGGGGGCUGCGGCCUAUCAGGUAGUUGGUAGGGUAAUAGCCUACCAAGCCGAUGACGGGUAGCCGGCCUGAGAGGGUGACCGGCCCGAGGGGCACUGAGAUACGGGUCCCACUCUUACGGGAGGCAGCAGGCUAGAAAUUUGGGCAAUGGGGGAAACCCUGACCCAGUGACGCCGCGUGCAGGAAGGAGCCCUUCGGGGUGUAAACUGCUGUCGUGUAGGGAGAAGGGUACUAAGGUGAACAAUCUUAGUACUUGACGGUACUACAGGAGGAAGCCCAGGCUAACCUCGUG
rnacentral:rRNA from 1 species